rnacentral:tRNA from 1 species
UCUCUGGUAGUAUAUCGGUUAGUACACGCACCUGUCAUGUCCCAUAUAUAGCCAAUCUCGCGCGAAAGCUGGGUUCGACUCCCAGCCAGAGAG